rnacentral:tRNA from 1 species
UGGGGCGUCGACAAGCGGUAAGUCAGCAGCCUUUGAAGCUGCCAUCCCUGGUUCGAAUCCAGGCGCCCCAA